GGAUGGGUGGCGGAACGGCUUAUCGCACCUGCUUGGAAAGCAGGCGUACGCUGGGUUACCAGGGUACUGUGGGUUCGAAUCCCACCCCAUCCUCCA
rnacentral:tRNA from 1 species